rnacentral:rRNA from 1 species
AGUGAACGCUGGCGGUAGGCCUAACACAUGCAAGUCGAACGGCAGCACAGGAGAGCUUGCUCUCUGGGUGGCGAGUGGCGGACGGGUGAGGAAUACAUCGGAAUCUACUCUGUCGUGGGGGAUAACGUAGGGAAACUUACGCUAAUACCGCAUACAACCUACGGGUGAAAGCAGGGGAUCUUCGGACCUUGCGCGAUUGAAUGAGCCGAUGUCGGAUUAGCUAGUUGGCGGGGUAAAGGCCCACCAAGGCGACGAUCCGUAGCUGGUCUGAGAGGAUGAUAAGCCACACUGGAACUGAGACACGGUCCAGACUCCUACGGGAGGCAGCAGUGGGGAAUAUUGGACAAUGGGCGCAAGCCUGAUCCAGCCAUACCGCGUGGGUGAAGAAGGCCUUCGGGUUGUAAAGCCCUUUUGUUGGGAAAGAAAUCCAGCUGGCUAAUACCCGGUUGGGAUGACGGUACCCAAAGAAUAAGCACCGGCUAACUUCGUGCCAGCCGCCGCGGUAA